UGUUCGUGAAAUCUCACGGCUUAACUGUGAGCGUGCGGGCGAUACGGGCAGACUUGAGUACUGCAGGGGAGACUGGAAUUCCUGGUGUAGCGGUGGAAUGCGCAGAUAUCAGGAGGAACACCGGUGGCGAAGGCGGGUCUCUGGGCAGUAACUGACGCUGAGGAGCGAAAGCGUGGGGAGCGAACAGGAUUAGAUACCCUGGUAGUCCACGCCGUAAACGGUGGGUACUAGGUGUGGGUUUCCUUCCUUGGGAUCCGUGCCGUAGCUAACGCAUUAAGUACCCCGCCUGGGGAGUACGGCCGCAAGGCUAAAACUCAAAGAAAUUGACGGGGGCCCACACAAGCGGCGGAGCAUGUGGAUUAAUUCGAUGCAACGCGAAGAACCUUACCUGGGUUUGACAUGCACAGGACGCCGGCAGAGAUGUCGGUUCCCUUGUGGCCUGUGUGCAGGUGGUGCAUGGCUGUCGUCAGCUCGUGUCGUGAGAUGUUGGGUUAAGUCCCGCAACGAGCGCAACCCUUGUCUCAUGUUGCCAGCGGGUAAUGCCUGGGGANCUCGUGAGAGACUGCCGGGGUCAACUCGGAGGAAGGUGGGGAUGACGUCAGUCAUCAUGCCCUUAUGUCAGGGCUUCACACAUGCUACAAUGGCCGGUACAAGGGGCUGCGAUGCCGCGAGGUUAAGCGAAUCCUUUUAAAGCCGGUCUCAGUUCGGAUCGGGGUCUGCAACUCGACCCCGUGAAGUCGGAGUCGCUAGUAAUCGCAGA
rnacentral:rRNA from 1 species